UGAUGAAUUUUGUGUUCCAGCCUUGAAUAACAAAUGUAGACAAUUGACAACCAUACAAGAAAUAUAGGUGAUGAAAGACAUACAAACGGAAAUCCUAGCAUUUAUAAAACCAAAGGAUGCUGACCCAUUCGCUUUGAAAAAUGUUGGUUUCGACCUACCAUUUAGAACUGUGGAUGACGUAACCAAAGUUGAAGAAUGGCUAAGGACUUCAGAGAAUAUGAUACAGUUUGAGCACAUUCUUUCUACCGUUGGAGAAAGGAAAGUAGAAAAUGUCACAUGAAGAAUGAUUGAAAAGAUAUUUACAAACCAGCUGGCACUGCGAUACAAUUGGACAGGGGAAAAUGGAAAGGACUCACUCUGCUUGCCACCAUUAAAAAUGAUGGAAUCAGACCAGGACUACUGAAUGUUGGUGAUUCCACUACUGAAGACUUCUAGAGCAAGGUGAAGAAGUGCCUGAAAUGCCUGGUGAUCCAAAAUGUAGUAUCCAAUCAACCGGAGGAUAUGUUCCUGGAUGAAUUUAUUCAAAGUGACAACUCCGCUGAGCAACCGACAACCACUGAACAAGUACCAAGUUCCAGUAACAUCGACCAUGAUUACAGUUUGAGAAGUUUAGACCUGGCAUUAUUACAACCCAUGUGAGUAAGCCGCGAAUUGGAUUAUCUAAAUGAUGAUAACCUUGAAAACAUUAAUUCAAUUGAAGAUAUUUUUUA